rnacentral:antisense_RNA from 1 species
GAUAAUAAAUGUUUAGUCGCACCUAAGUAUCAAUAAACCUCAACUACAGAAGUCAGGCAAUAGGAAUAAGCAGAUGAUUAAAAUCGACCGUUUUACAACUAAAAUUCAACAGUAUUUAGAAAUAUAGAAAUUAAUCUUGUACUUUUUCAGUUUGUAAACCUGCAAAUGUAGCAACAGGGAUAUAUUGCACAAGAGUGUACAGAGAAUCUUUAGAAUCUUCUGACUCGCUACGCUUUCUAGAAAUUCUUACGCGUACACGUGUAGGCAGAUUUCUAACACCCUUACUGAAAAUGAAUUUGUUGAGUUUCGCGUCAAUUCUAACAUCUUCAGUCUUCAUGACCUUUCCUGCAAAUUCACGGAUGCCUUUAAUGGCUCUUGGUGCCCUCUUUUUGAACGAGAUCUUGUGAACCAUCUUACUCAGAUUGAUGGUAUAAUCCCUUGUACAUGGUGCCAUUGAACCUUUAUUUCCUAUAUUUAAUGUUAAAAUAACGAUUCAGAAUUAUUACUAAUAAACAAACGGCUAGCGUUAUAUUUGAGUAAACUUACCUUGUGCCAUAUUAAUUAACUUUGCAAACAAGCAGUACUAUGAGAGUGAAUAGUAAUAUUUAUAUAAUACUUGAGAAACUCAGAGAAAGUUCAGAAUUACCGUUCAAUUUAUUCUACUUCUCGACUAUUGAUUUAAAACUAGAUUUAGCAGGAGCAAGACGAGACAAUACAGGAAAAAAAUGAAUGGCGGCAAAAGAUUAAUUAAAUAUAUCAAAAGAAAGCAAAUUAAUCCAUACUAGUUAACUUAACGCCUUUAUAUAAAUCAUGAUUAUUUUUUAUAUGGGUCAUUAAGUUAUUAAGUAGAAUCUUGGGACCUUGUUGUAUCUCGCUGCCUGAAAACUGAAUUUGUUCAUGGCAAAGAGCCACCAGUUUUGAGAUAAAAUCUGUUGUAAUGUUUUGAUUCCCUUGUUCUAGAUAGUACAUAUACUUUUCUAGGAUAUCUAUAAAUAGUACUGAAUUACUUGGAGCUACUUGUACUGCAGAAUCAGCUAUUUUCAGGCACUUUUGCAAACAUUCUAAAACUCUAGUUGCAUCCCUAUUUUCCUCGUUGUUCCAAAAUAAGUGGGAGCACAUUAAUAUUGCUCUGCACUGGUCCGGCUUGCGUAACAACUUUGCGGAGUAUUGUGCCAAUUUUGCGGCUAGUAGCUCGUAGUUAUCUUUACUUAAGCACUGGAUUCGCCCUACAAGCGUUCCAAUAAUUGACAUUAGUCCCUGAAAUUGCCUUUUUGACUCUGCAAGCUCCUCUUCAAAACAAACAAGACUUUGGGUAAGGAAUUCGUAGCAAAUUGCUUCGUAUCCAUCCGAGUCGUUUGCUUUAUCUGCCAUUAUCGAUCCCUGUAGAAAUAAGUCAAGAGCUAGUUCUGGCGCACAAGUUACAAGGAUUAUUGCGAUCUUAUGAAUAAACUGAAAUAUCUUUUUUACAGAUAAUUUUGAAGGCUCAUUAUCUGUUUUUUCCUUUGAUAAAGUUGUUUCAAUAAGAUUUAUGGCACAAUACCCCAGAGUUGGGAAUGUAUAUUUAAAUCUUGAACUAUCUACACGACUAAAUAAGUCGAAAAGAAUUCCGUACAUGCUGAAAAUUUGGUUCACAUCCUCGUGUUUGAUCUGAUGGACCAACUUUGAAACUUUCAUUUGUUGAUAAAUAAAUUCAUUAUUUUCAGUUAUUGAUAGAUCAACUUCCUCACCUGUAUGGGUACCUUUUUCAUCUAGCAUAGGGAGAAUAAAAGAACAAAAUCUUUGCAAUGCAUCUGCAUCAUCGAACGGAGUGUUGUUUUCCACAAUUGUAUUGAUCAAAGAAAGCGCAACCUUUUUUCCUGCUUGUUUAUUUAGAAAAUAAAGGAGGUUUGGAAAAUGGUUCAUCUCUACCAUAAUGGACAGGGGCAUUGACUGGAAUGGGAGCGAAAGUAUCUCAACAAUUGUAUCAAUACAUCGGCUAUCCAGAAGUGAUCCACAUGUUCCGUCAACUCUCACUCCAAGUGCAUUUGUAAGUAGUGUUACUGUUGAUCCAAGAAUUAAGUCUACAUAAUUCGUGUUGUCUGGAUAUAACGUUAGAGUAAAUGCAAGGAAUGCAGCGUGCAAUUCCAGCAAACUAGACAAAUCUCUUUCCAAAUUAUUGGAAAUCUGCUUUUGAAUAUUUGGGGUUGGUCUUUCGUGUAAUUCGGAAAGGUUUUUUCUGAAUAAUUCAAAAAUAUCAAUAUCAUUUAUUAAACUCUUGUCAUUACUUUGGCUUAAAUAGUUUGAGAGCCUAUUCAUGAGAUUAGUUAAAAUUGGCUUUAAAUCAACCCCAGGUAAUGUUUUCAUACAUGCCGACAAUAAAAGUUCCAAGGUUUUGAGAUGAUUUUCAUCUGAAAACACUUGAAUAAUACAGUCUAGCAAGUAUUGUUGUGCUAGAACAUCUUCACAUGAUAAAACUACAUUAAGCAGUUUUGGUAGUAUUUCCUGAAUGUAGAGUUGCUGAGUCAAUCCUUCCAAAUGCGAGAUGCGAACAAGAUUUGCGCCCACAAGUAUUCUAAGAUCGUGCCUCUCACGUUCUCUUCUUAAUUUAUCUUUCGGAGUUCCAUGAUUUUGUAAACGUAUCCACAAUCUAGUUGAUUCACAAAAAUUUGAAUAUAAAAAGUCCCACGUAUCCAUUACUGUUCCUCCGCCAUUUUCUUCAUAAAUGCUUCCUGUAUCAGGUAGUACGUCUUUGCAAGUUUGAAUUAAAAAGUACCUUAAAAAUAAUCCUCUCAUUGGAUGCUGAACUCCUUUGCAUAGUUCAGACAUAUCCUUCAGAAUAUCUUUUGCUGGAGCUUCAAGAGAUCUGAUAUAGCACGCACCUGCAGUUAUUAGCAGAAAGAGGCGUGGAACAAUGUUGCCCGCAUGCUGUACCGAAUCAUAAAGAUCACUCAUUUUUCUUCCAUGACGAGAUUUGUCAUCAAAAAAGUGAGAUAAGUCGCGCAUUUCUUGAAAAAUUUGCAUAUAUAGCUCAUAGUAAUGCUUAGGAGAGAGUGAGGAUGUACGCAAUUCGCAUAACAUAUUCGACGCAUGCCUAAGGGCAUCUCUAAGUCCAUCUUGAUCGAUUGCACGUUUCAUAUAAUAUGCUUGCUCUUUAACAACAUUACUAGCCUCAGCCAGAAGAGUAUUCUGGCCAUAGUUUUCAACCUUAUAUAUUCUAUCCAUAUUAUUAUUCGGUACAAGUUGGAAAAAAUACUGUAUUAUUUCUCAACUUGCCCUAUUAAAUUCGGCAAAUUUGAACAAAUUUAAUAUUCUAUUGAUAUAUUUUCUUAGUGGAAUUUCGAGAAAGUUGUUGCCGCUCUUGAGGG